ACACAUGCAAGUCGAACGGUAACAGGAAGCAGCUUGCUGCUUYGCUGACGAGUGGCGGACGGGUGAGUAAUGUCUGGGAAACUGCCUGAUGGAGGGGGAUAACUACUGGAAACGGUGGCUAAUACCGCAUAACGUCGCAAGACCAAAGAGGGGGACCUUCGGGCCUCUUGCCAUCAGAUGUGCCCAGAUGGGAUUAGCUUGUUGGUGAGGUAACGGCUCACCAAGGCGACGAUCCCUAGCUGGUCUGAGAGGAUGACCAGCCACACUGGAACUGAGACACGGUCCAGACUCCUACGGGAGGCAGCAGUGGGGAAUAUUGCACAAUGGGCGCAAGCCUGAUGCAGCCAUGCCGCGUGUAUGAAGAAGGCCUUCGGGUUGUAAAGUACUUUCAGCGGGGAGGAAGGUGUUGUGGUUAAUAACCRCAGCAAUUGACGUUACCCGCAGAAGAAGCACCGGCUAACUCC
rnacentral:rRNA from 1 species